UUGAACGCUGGCGGCAUGCCUUACACAUGCAAGUCGAACGGUAGAGGGGCAACCCUUGAGAGUGGGCGAACGGGUGAGUAAUAUAUCGGAACGUGCCCAGUCGUGGGGGAUAACGCAGCGAAAGCUGCGCUAAUACCGCAUACGAUCUAUGGAUGAAAGCGGGGGAUCGCAAGACCUCGCGCGAUUGGAGCGGCCGAUAUCAGAUUAGGUAGUUGGUGGGGUAAAAGCCCACCAAGCCGACGAUCUGUAGCUG
rnacentral:rRNA from 1 species